AUUGAACGCUGGCGGCAGGCCUAACACAUGCAAGUCGAGCGGAAACGAGUUAUCUGAACCUUCGGGGAACGAUAACGGCGUCGAGCGGCGGACGGGUGAGUAAUGCCUAGGAAAUUGCCCUGAUGUGGGGGAUAACCAUUGGAAACGAUGGCUAAUACCGCAUAAUGCCUACGGGCCAAAGAGGGGGGACCUUUGGGCCUCUCGCGUCAGGAUAUGCCUAGGUGGGAUUAGCUAGUUGGUGAGGUAAUGGCUCACCAAGGCGACGAUCCCUAGCUGGUCUGAGAGGAUGAUCAGCCACACUGGAACUGAGACACGGUCCAGGACUCCUACGGGAGCAGCAGUGGGAAUAUGCACAAUGGCCCAGCCUGAUGCAGCCAUGCCGCGUGUGUGAAGAAGGCCUUCGGGUUGU
rnacentral:rRNA from 1 species